CGGCGUGCCUAAUACAUGCAAGUCGAGCGAGGUAUCUUCGGAUACCUAGCGGCGAACGGGUGAGUAACACGUAGGUAAUCUACCUCAUAGAUUGGGAUACCCAAUGGAAACUUUGGCUAAGACCGGAUAUGAUGUUUGGAGGCAUCUUCGAGCAUUGAAAAGGACAACUGUUCUGCUAUGAGAUGAACCUGCGGCGCAUUAGCUAGUUGGUGAGAUAACAGCCCACCAAGGCAAAGAUGCGUAGCCGACCUGAGAGGGUGAACGGCCACAUUGGGACUGAGAACGGCCCAGACUCCUACGGGAGGCAGCAGUAGGGAGUAUUCGGCAAUGAGGGGAACCUUGACCGAGCAACGCCGCGUGAACGAAGAAGGUCUUCGGAUUGUAAAGUUCUGUUAUUGGGGACGAAACUUACAUGGAGUGGAAAGCCAUGUAACUGACGGUACCCUUUGAGAAAGCCACGGCUAACUACGUGCCAGCAGCCGCGGUAAUACGUAGGUGGCAAGCGCUAUCCGGAAUUAUUGGGCGUAAAGAGUGAGUAGGCGGUAGUUUAAGUCUGGAGUCAAAAGCAGUGGCUCAACCAUUGUUCGCUUUGGAAACUGAACAACUAGAGUUCGAGAGAGGUUAGUGGAAUUCCAUGUGUAGCGGUGAAAUGCGUAGAUAUAUGGAGGAACACCAGUGGCGAAGGCGGCUAACUAGCUCGAUACUGACGCUCAGUCACGAAAGCGUGGGUAGCAAAUAGGAUUAGAUACCCUAGUAGUCCACGCCGUAAACGAUGAGUACUAACUGUCGGGGAAAUCCGGUGGUGAAGUUAACGCAUUAAGUACUCCGCCUGGGUAGUACGUUCGCAAGAAUGAAACUUAAAGGAAUUGACGGGGGCCCGCACAAGCAGUGGAGCAUGUGGUUUAAUUCGACGCUACGCGAAGAACCUUACCAGGGCUCGACAUCUGAUUAAAGGCUCUAGAGAUAGAGAGAUAGUUAUAGUCAAGACAGGUGGUGCAUGGUUGUCGUCAGCUCGUGUCGUGAGAUGUUGGGUUAAGUCCCGCAACGAGCGCAACCCUUGUCCUUAGUUACCAUCAUUAAGUUGGGGACUCUAGGGAGACCGCCGGUAUAAGCCGGAGGAAGAUGGGGAUGACGUCAAAUCAUCAUGCCCUUUAUGUCCUGGGCGACACACGUGCUACAAUGGUCGGUACAAAGAGCAGCGAGACGGUGACGUUAAGCGAAUCUCAAAAAGCCGAUCUCAGUUCGGAUUGGAGUCUGCAACUCGACUCCAUGAAGUUGGAAUUGCUAGUAAUCGCGAAUCAGACAUGUCGCGGUGAAUACGUUCCCGGGCCUUG
rnacentral:rRNA from 1 species